rnacentral:tRNA from 1 species
GGGUCUGUCGAUCGUGACGGUGGGCAUCGUGGCGCUCACGGUGGCGCUGCUGCGCACCCUGCGCGGCCCGGUGUUCUUCCCGCUGCGGGCACUC